rnacentral:rRNA from 1 species
AGGGGGCUAGCGUUGUUCGGGAUUACUGGGCGUAAAGCGCGCGCAGGCGGUUUUUCAAGUCAGUUGUGAAAGCCCGGAGCUCAACUCCGGAAAUGCCAUUGAAACUGUUAAACUUGAGGAUGAGAGAGGUGAGUGGAAUUCCCAGUGUAGAGGUGAAAUUCGUAGAUAUUGGGAAGAACACCGGUGGCGAAGGCGGCUCACUGGCUCAUUACUGACGCUCAGGCGCGACAGCGUGGGGAUCAAACAGG